UAGGGAAUCUUCGGCAAUGGACGAAAGUCUGACCGAGCAACGCCGCGUGAGUGAAGAAGGUUUUCGGAUCGUAAAACUCUGUUGUUAGAGAAGAACAAGGACGUUAGUAACUGAACGUCCCCUGACGGUAUCUAACCAGAAAGCCACGGCUAACUACGUGCCAGCAGCCGCGGUAAUACGUAGGUGGCAAGCGUUGUCCGGAUUUAUUGGGCGUAAAGCGAGCGCAGGCGGUUUCUUAAGUCUGAUGUGAAAGCCCCCGGCUCAACCGGGGAGGGUCAUUGGAAACUGGGAGACUUGAGUGCAGAAGAGGAAAGUGGAAUUCCAAGUGUAGCGGUGAAAUGCGUAGAUAUAUGGAGGAACACCAGUGGCGAAGGCGGCUCUCUGGUCUGUAACUGACGCUGAGGCUCGAAAGCGUGGGGAGCAAACAGG
rnacentral:rRNA from 1 species